rnacentral:rRNA from 1 species
AUACGGAGGGGGUUAGCGUUGUUCGGAAUUACUGGGCGUAAAGCGUACGUAGGCGGACUGAUCAGUUGGGGGUGAAAUCCCAGGGCUUAACCCUGGAACUGCCUUCAAUACUGUCAGUCUUGAGAUUGGAAGAGGUGAGUGGAAUUCCUAGUGUAGAGGUGAAAUUCAUAGAUAUUAGGAGGAACACCAGUGGCGAAGGCGGCUCACUGGUCCAAUACUGACGCUGAGGUACGAAAGCGUGGGGAGCAAACAGGAGUAGAUACCCUAGUAGUCC